rnacentral:rRNA from 1 species
AUGGCUGUUCGCCAUUUAAAGUGGUACGCGAGCUGGGUUUAGAACGUCGUGAGACAGUUCGGUCCCUAUCUGCCGUGGGCGCUGGAGAACUGAGGGGGGCUGCUCCUAGUACGAGAGGACCGGAGUGGACGCAUCACUGGUGUUCGGGUUGUCAUGCCAAUGGCACUGCCCGGUAGCUAAAUGCGGAAGAGAUAAGUGCUGAAAGCAUCUAAGCACGAAACUUGCCCCGAGAUGAGUUCUCCCUGACUCCUUGAGAGUCCUGAAGGAACGUUGAAGACGACGACGUUGAUAGGCCGGGUGUGUAAGCGCAGCGAUGCGUUGAGCUAACCGGUACUAAUGAACCGUGAGG